rnacentral:rRNA from 1 species
GGAGGGCGCAAGCGUUGUCCGGAAUCACUGGGCGUAAAGCGCGCGUAGGCGGCCAGGUCAGUCAUUUGUGAAAUCCCGGAGCUCAACUCCGGGCGUGCAGGUGAUACUGCUUGGCUAGAGCAUGGUAGAGGCAAGUGGAAUUCCCGGUGUAGCGGUGGAAUGCGUAGAUAUCGGGAAGAACACCAGUGGCGAAGGCGGCUUGCUGGGCCAUUGCUGACGCUGAGGCGCGAAAGCGUGGGGAGCAAACAGGAUUAGAUACCCUGGUAGUCCCACGCCCGUAAACGAUGGGUACUAGGCGUCGGGGGGUAGCGACCCCGUUCGGUGCCGCCGCUAACGCAGUAAGUACCCCCGCCUGGAAGUACGGCCGCAAGGCUG